CCUACGGGAGGCAGCAGUGAGGAAUAUUGGUCAAUGGGAGGAAUCCUGAACCAGCCAUGCCGCGUGCAGGACGACGGCUCUACGAGUUGUAAACUGCUUUUGUACCGGGGUAAAAUGCUCUACGAGUAGGGUUUUGAAAGUACGGUACGAAUAAGGAUCGGCUAACUCCGUGCCAGCAGCCGCGGUAAUACGGAGGAUCCGAGCGUUAUCCGGAUUUAUUGGGUUUAAAGGGUGCGUAGGUUGUUUUAUAAGUUAGCGGUGAAAUACCGAUGCUCAACAUCGGGGCUGCCGCUGAUACUGUAGGACUAGAGAUCGGAUGCAGCAGGCGGAAUGUGUAGUGUAGCGGUGAAAUGCAUAGAUAUUACACAGAACACCGAUUGCGAAGGCAGCUUGCUAGGCCGGAUCUGACACUGAUGCACGAAAGCGUGGGGAUCGAACAGGAUUAGAUACCCGAGUAGUC
rnacentral:rRNA from 1 species